CAAAAGCGAAGUCCUCUUCUCUCCAGAGAGCAUUUCGCAUCUCCCGGUUCUCAUGAGACAAACUUGUCUGCUAACUCCAGGCUUUGUUUCUUCACUGCUGCCAGCCAGCAUGGUAGGAAAACAAUGUCUGAUGCCGCCCAAGGAUGUUCAUGCAGAAUGGAGAGGAGGGGAGAAAUGAACGUAUUUGGGACUUGCAGAAAUCUGGAAUUAAGUGGAGAGCGGUGACAACAGGCAGAUGCACAGGAAGGAGCAACGUGGGAAGGACCACAUUUGGGGACUGACUGGCCUGGUGGCACCCUGAGCUCAGAAGAUGCCUGGGGAUGAGCUGUGGAGUAACUCAUCAGGCUGGGAAAGGAAGCUCAGGUUCAGUGAACAUAGGAGCUCAGAUAUGUCAGAUAGAGGAUGAAAACAGAUGCUCAUCUCUGGACAUGGCUUUGAUUGUGUGUAACUUGAUCCAGUACAUAUUAACUGAGCACCCACCAACUUUACACACGUGUACAUACAAUGGGGGAGCAGACAGACACAGCUCUGUCCCCAUAGAGCACAAGGUCCAGUGGAGUGGCCUAGCUAGGGGUCAUCAUAUGGAGUUAUCCUUGAGAAAUUACUCCCUGGAAGCAGGUUGAGGGCACCCCAGGGGCCUCCAGUGUCUGCUGGGAUAGCUGAGAGGUAUCUCAAGCAAAGAGGACUGAAUGUUAUACCCUGUGGAUUCUUCCAGAAGAAGGAGAGACACAUUUUUGCUGCCAUAAGGGACCUAUCUAUCUCCCUUCCUCUUUCUCCAUCCAGAAAGGAGGUUUCUCAAUUUGGGACUGACUCUUGAAGAGACAGAGGACAGCGAGCCCACAGAACUGCUCCUCCUUGGGUAUCCCUGUGCCUGUUUCCUAUGUUAAGAUUGGGAAGGUGAUGGAUAGGAUUUAACCUUCUGUUUUCAUUGGAGCUAUUCUGCUUCAGCUCCAAAGUGCAAGUGAAAGUGUUAGCCACUCAGUUAUGUCUGACUCUUUAUGACCCCAUAGGCCAUACA
ensembl:lncRNA